AGUCAUAUGCUUGUCUCAAAGAUUAAGCCAUGCAUGUCUAAGUAUAAGCAAUUAUACAGCGAAACUGCGAAUGGCUCAUUAUAUAAGUUAUCGUUUAUUUGAUAGCACCUUACUACUUGGAUAACCGUGGUAAUUCUAGAGCUAAUACAUGCUAAAAAUCCCGACUUCGGAAGGGAUGUAUUUAUUAGAUUAAAAACCAAUGCCCCCUGGGCUCUCUGGUGAUUCAUGAUAACUUCGCGGAUCGCACGGCCUUGCGCCGGCGAUGGCUCAUUCAAAUUUCUUCCCUAUCAACUUUCGAUGUUUGGGUAGUGGCCAAACAUGGUUGCAACGGGUAACGGAGGGUUAGGGCUCGACCCCGGAGAAGGAGCCUGAGAAACGGCUACUACAUCCAAGGAAGGCAGCAGGCGCGCAAAUUACCCAAUCCCGACACGGGGAGGUAGUGACAAUAAAUACUGAUACAGGGCUCUUUUGGGUCUUGUAAUUGGAAUGAGUACAAUUUAAAUCCCUUAACGAGGAACAAUUGGAGGGCAAGUCUGGUGCCAGCAGCCGCGGUAAUUCCAGCUCCAAUAGCGUAUAUUAAAGUUGUUGUGGUUAAAAAGCUCGUAGUUGAACCUUGGGCCUGGCUGGCCGGUCCGCCUCACCGCGUGUACUGGUCCGGCCGGGCCUUUCCCUCUGUGGAACCCCAUGCCCUUCACUGGGUGUGGCGGGGAAACAGGACUUUUACUUUGAAAAAAUUAGAGUGCUCCAGGCAGGCCUAUGCUCGAAUACAUUAGCAUGGAAUAAUGAAAUAGGACGUGCGGUUCUAUUUUGUUGGUUUCUAGGACCGCCGUAAUGAUUAAUAGGGACAGUCGGGGGCAUCAGUAUUCAAUUGUCAGAGGUGAAAUUCUUGGAUUUAUUGAAGACUAACUACUGCGAAAGCAUUUGCCAAGGAUGUUUUCAUUAAUCAGGAACGAAAGUUAGGGGAUCGAAGACGAUCAGAUACCGUCGUAGUCUUAACCAUAAACUAUGCCGACUAGGGAUCGGACGAUGUUAUAUUUUGACUCGUUCGGCACCUUACGAGAAAUCAAAGUGCUUGGGCUCCAGGGGGAGUAUGGUCGCAAGGCUGAAACUUAAAGAAAUUGACGGAAGGGCACCACCAGGGGUAAACCGCAGUUGCUCUGCCCCUAAAAGCAGCCGGGAAACCGGUCCCGUGGGUCCUUGGCCAGGCGGCCGAAGAAUGCUAGUCGCCCCCGACGAGGGGCGGCGACACCCUCAAAUUGCGGGAAGUCCCUAAAGCCAACUGAGACCAAGCAGGCGCCCGAAAGGGCCCUGUGGCCGAGCUAGCAGCCCUGGGUAUGGUAAAACGGCAGUUGGAUGGAACAAUGGGUGAUCCGCAGCCAAGCCCCUAACCGGCAGCGCUUGCUGCCGCACGGGGAAGGUUCAGAGACUUGACGGGGGUGGGUUCAGUCAGUUCCUGUAGCCCUACGUAGUGAACUAUACUGUGCUUAAGAUAAAGUCCGUCUAUAUGCUAAAGCGUAAUAGAGCCCAGUAAAACGGGAGCCUGCGGCUUAAUUUGACUCAACACGGGGAAACUCACCAGGUUAAUCUGGGCCUGGAAAAGUGAUGGCUCGAGAGGAGCCUGUUGCUAGUGUCAAACUUCAUCUGCGUGGGGAAGCCCCCAAAGUCGGGCGUGGAGCGGCCUCGUGCCGUUGUUUGAUGCGACACCAGCUGGAACAGGGGACGCCUAACUGCAAGCAAUUGCAGCGGCCAAUCCUGUGGCGAGCUCAGGUAGCGCUGGGCCGUCGCAACGCGCGGAAAGCGGUGGGCCUCCUCCUCAGGAGGCUUAAGGUACGUGCUAAUCCCACAGGGAACUGUGGCUUCACCGAAUAGGCCCGGCAGCCGAAGCGGUGAAGGCAGGCGACCUCAGCGGUCGCCUGUGUGUGUGGCUGUGGUAGCAUUUCAUUUCGCGAGUCGGCGAUGCUGCUGUGGCCGCGUUGCCAGACACAAUGAGGAUUGACAGAUUGAGAGCUCUUUCUUGAUUUUGUGGGUGGUGGUGCAUGGCCGUUCUUAGUUGGUGGAGUGAUUUGUCUGCUUAAUUGCGAUAACGAACGAGACCUUAACCUGCUAAAUAGCCCGUAUUGCUUUGGCAGUACGCCGGCUUCUUAGAGGGACUAUCGGCUCAAGCCGAUGGAAGUUUGAGGCAAUAACAGGUUGAAGCGUUACAGGCCUGUAACAGUGGGCCUCAUUAAAGAUUACUGCUAGUCCAGCGACUUUGCCUCCGCGGGGAAGCCCCCACUAUCGGGCGGAGGGGGCCCUGAAGAAGGGCCCUGUUGCGGGCGACACCACCUGGAACAGGGAACGCCGCGAACCCUUUACUGGGGGACGGCCGAUCCUGUGGCGAGCCUGGGUUGCGCCAGGCCGUUGCAACGCGCGCAAAGGGGUGGGCCUUCACCGAAGGCUUAAGGUACGUGCUAAUCCCGUGGGCAACCACGCCUCUGCAACUAGGCCCGAUAAGCCGAAGUGCAGGGGAGCUAUGGGCGCCGCGGCACCCAUGGCUGGGGCUUUUACACUGUAAAAGCCAUCUGCUGUGAUGCCCUUAGAUGUUCUGGGCCGCACGCGCGCUACACUGACGGAGCCAGCGAGUACUCCCUUGGCCGGAAGGCCCGGGUAAUCUUGUUAAACUCCGUCGUGCUGGGGAUAGAGCAUUGCAAUUAUUGCUCUUCAACGAGGAAUCCCUAGUAAGCGCAAGUCAUCAGCUUGCGUUGAUUACGUCCCUGCCCUUUGUACACACCGCCCGUCGCUACUACCGAUUGAAUGGCUCAGUGAGGCGUCCGGACUGGCCCAGAGAGGUGGGCAACUACCACUCAGGGCCGGAAAGCUCUCCAAACUCGGUCAUUUAGAGGAAGUAAAAGUCGUAACAAGGUCUCCGUU
rnacentral:rRNA from 1 species